UCAGUCAAUGGUGCAACAAGGUAUCUGGACUAGAUGACCUAUCUGGCCUUUGAUUAGGCCUACUGCAUCUUCUGAUGGAGAUGUAAAACGAAGUGCGUGAGUUUAAAAGACCUGUGUUCCUGUAGGUGUUGAGAGGAUUGAGUGGAGGAUACGUUUGGCUCGGAUCAGGAGGAUCCUUAGGCUCUUGCCCGAGUUUGUGCGCAUGUGGUUCAUUAUGCACCGGUUUCACUGAUUGCAUUUAACGUGCAGCCGAGAAGCUGACGGAAGGUGAGCUGCAUGAUGGCAGGCUGAUCGCCGAUCAGAAGGUGUGUGUAAAAGAGAACCUGGCUGUGUCCUUGCAGCGUGUGAUUUCUAUUUCAUCUGUGUUUUCAGAAGGAGGUGGAAGAUUGAGGAGCCGAUUUUUAUUUUGUUUUUUUUUGUUAAAUAAAAGGUUUCUUUAAAUAACCAACACCUGCCUGACUGUACGAGUUAUUUACAUGAACCAGUCGCAGGAACGUCUUGCUAUAAGGGAUGUGAAAGUGAUAAUAUCUUUUUGUACAGAGCGUAAUAGAACUGAGGCAUCAGGAAUCCCAAAUAUAGUAAUGAAUGGGCAAGGUUUUAAAUCUACUCUGAGAAUAGUGGACAUGAUGGUAAAGAAACCAGUCCAAAAACCAUGGAGAUCUGGGCAAAGGAAAAACAUAUGGCCAAGAUGACAGGGACAGCCAUGGCAUUUAUCACACUUGUCCUCUACUUCUGGAUAUAUUACAGAAAGUCUCAACUUAGACAAAUGCACUCUGUGUAAAACUUUGAACUGGAUGAGUCCAAGAUGAGCACAGUAAGUGGUAGACUGUAUCCUACCUAUAGCACGUUCCCAACACUCCUCACUUAUCUGUACUCCUAACUCCAUUUCCCACACAUUCUUAAUUUUGGUACCCGCCUCACUACCUAACGCCAGAAUAAAAUCAUAAAUCUUAGAUAUCAUUCCUCUCUGAUGUGGAUUGAACCCACUCAACCCUGUCAAAUGCUUUUUCAGCAUCUAAAGAAAUCAAUCUCAGCCGAAUGCUUUGAAUAAUGUAAAGAGCG